GACGAACGCUGGCGGCGUGCUUAACACAUGCAAGUCGAACGGAAAGGCCCUGCUUUUGUGGGGUGCUCGAGUGGCGAACGGGUGAGUAACACGUGAGUAACCUGCCCUUGACUUUGGGAUAACUUCAGGAAACUGGGGCUAAUACCGGAUAGGAGCUCCUGCUGCAUGGUGGGGGUUGGAAAGUUUCGGCGGUUGGGGAUGGACUCGCGGCUUAUCAGCUUGUUGGUGGGGUAGUGGCUUACCAAGGCUGUGACGGGUAGCCGGCCUGAGAGGGUGACCGGGCACAUUGGGACUGAGAUACGGCCCAGACGCCUACGGGAGGCAGCAGUGGGGAAUAUUGCACAAUGGGCGGAAGCCUGAUGCAGCAACGCCGCGUGCGGGAUGACGGCCUUCGGGUUGUAAACCGCUUUCGCCUGUGACGAAGCGUGAGUGACGGUAAUGGGUAAAGAAGCACCGGCUAACUACGUG
rnacentral:rRNA from 1 species